UAUGCUCUACCCUUUACCCUCCUGCUCGCCUGGAUCUCCCCUUCCCCUCCUCCUGCCUGCUCUCCUCCCAUGGCCCAGCCCAGGUCAUGUUCACUCUUGAUUUUCCCAGAUAUCUCUGCCUCUGACUAUGCUCUCCCUCUGGUCUACACUAAACUUUCCCCUUCACCAUUCCUAGCAGCACUCAUGUCCUCCUUUUCAUUUCUUUUUUUUUUUUUUUUUUUCAAAUCUGGUGCUGAAACCCUGGAUUGGCAUAUAUGUGCUCCCUUCCGAGGAACUCAGGCCUCUCUACACCAAGCUGCUGCUUUGACUCUUCCUAGGAAAAGCUCUCAGACCUAAGGCUGGUAGCCAAAAGCUGAAGCUGAAAAGCUGCCCUGUGUGAUAGCUGAAGACCUACAAGCACUGCCCCCAAGGAAGCCACCGGACGGGAGCCUCGGGAGUGGGUGGUCUCUGUCCUUUUAACUGGUAAAAAUCAGGCCUCAGGCCUCACUUUCCCAGAGCUAGUAGGUCUCCAGCUGAGAAAGACAGACAGCUUACCUUGCCCAGACUCUGAGAGGAGAUUUCCAACCAACUGAAGACUCCAGUUCCCACCAAACCACCCCAGAUUCAUCAGGCCUGAGCGCUGCUGCCAGAAUCUCCAGCUAGCGGCCUCUUCACUCUAGAUGGGUCCAGAGCAAGCAGCCCCAGGGCAGCCUCACAGACCGCUCCAAUGCAGCCUGCACUUCCCUAACCCUAGGUGUUUCCGCAGAGCCUGGACCUGGAUGGCCACACCCUCGCCCCUUCCUGCCUCAGCCCUCUGAGAUGUUCCUUCCAGCACAGAUCCUGCUCUGGAAUCAACCCCCGCUGUCUCUGCCUUCCUGCCUCCCUGGGAGCCGCUGGUGCCCUCGCUCCGCCCUUCGCUGACCCUAUCACUCAGAGCACUUUACUGGGUAAUCUGGGUUUAUUUGAAAACCUCUUGGCCACAAGCCCUCAAGCACACUGGAUGGGUCCACAUUUGAUCCUCCUCACUACAGCAAAGGUGGCUGAGCUCUGAGGAGUCCCAUCCUGGAGCCGUCUGUGGCAGCUCAAACGGCUCCAGACCCUGACCUGAGAAGCGCUCCUGUCAGUGAACUGGAUCUCCAAAACUCGAGCUCUCCCGCCCACGGUCCAUCGUGGAGCUGUGCUCUUUCCUUCCCCUCCAGUUGGGGGUUCUCUCUGGCCUCCCUACCUCCAGGCAGCUCAACAAGUGUGGACAGUCCAGACAUUUGCUAGUCACACUAGUAAAUUAAUUGCUUCCUUCUUGUGCCCGACCUGCUGCCACUUUGUGACGUGUUCUCAUGUUCUCUCUGCCUCUUGCUCCCCAGCAGCCUGACUCCACAGCUGGGUAAUGAACAAGACAGCUUCAGUUGCUAUAACAAUCCCAAAUACUCUUGUCUCCCCCACGGCCAAACAAACCCAGCCUGCAGGAAGAUCUCUUCCGGGGUGGGUGCCCACACUGGAGCUGGGGGUGCCAUCACUCUGGGGCAGCCUACAGCCUCAACAGCUCUACCAUGGGUCCCCACCAGUCUGGCCACCCUCACUAUCCCAGACCCCUGGAGUCAUUAGACAGACCUAUAAACGGUACGGCUGAGUUAUUAGGAAAUCUGACCCCACCCGGCAGUCCAGGCUGCAUGGAGGCUGUCCACCCAGGCCUCUGGAGGACCAUUCCAGAUGAGCCCGAGUUCCCCACAUACACAGCGGAACCAGCAGUCCUGUCCCCUGCGGUGAUCCCUGUGGUGGCUCUUUCUUACCCAGGUGACCCUACACUCCGCCCUCUGUACCCCAAACCACAUCCUCCCUCCCAUCACCUUCCAACAUUCUCAUUAUCUCUCUACCUUCUGGAGACACCAGGCCACUCCCUCUUUAGCCACCCCUCCCAGUCUCCUCCUUCAUCAACACAAGCUAACACCUCAAUUUCAGGAAGCUUAGUAGCCCUAGACGGAACUCUCUCCUGCUGGCAAUACAGACAAAUCCACUCUUGGUCCUUUUACUUCCCCAACUCAUUCUCGACACCAAAGGAGAGUUCUACACUGUCCCCCAAGUCCAGAGCAGGAACUGAGGGGCCGAGGCUCUCCCUGUUGUGACUGUCAUGACUGGGUUCGUCUGACAGCCCCAGCAGCUGUACAGGUUUGGCCGCAGGCAGAUGAGG